GCCGCGGCUCCCCGCUCCCGGGACGAUGUGCCUACUUCGUGCAAAGGAAGAACCGCUUCUGCAAGAUGAUCCCGGCUCCCGGGAGGCGGUUUUGUGGAGAGCAUGGGCAGCAGGAGAAAGAAAACGACAGAAAAAGAAUUCCCUGCCCUCUUGAUCCCAAACACACUGUGUAUGAGGACCAGCUGCAGAAGCAUUUAAAAAAAUGUAAUUCAAGAGAGAAGCCAAAACC